AUUUUGCCAAAAAGCCGCAUCCUUGUUCUUACUGGCGAGAUAGCGUCUCUCGGGAAAUUGACAAACUUCCAUCUCUGAUCUCAGCCUCUCGCGUCGCGAUUUUGGAUUUUGUGUUGCAUCAGUCCUCUCUGGUGUAAUCCUCUGGCGUUUCUCCAUUAUUGCUUCCAUUCUCCGGCGGCCUCUCUUUCGGUUUCAACCUCCCUCGCUCUUUCUGUGUCAGCGAUUCCAGAAUUGUAAAGUUGAUAUGAAAACAAAAGUCGAGGCUUUUUUCAAGCUCCGGUAUUUACAAUGUUCGAGGCAAGCAUUUGCUUCCAUUUUGAGAAAACAACCUCUAGAAACUUCGCAAAACUUAAGGGUUGCCACUUGUUCAACUGUAAGUGCCAACCAAGUUGAAGGGGCGGGUGAAGGGACGUUAGCACAUGCCAAUGACUCUUCCGAUGUUUUCCGGAGAUGGGGUUGUACGGAUAAUGAUAUUGCAAAGAUCUUUGCACGUGGGCCUUCUUUGCUCAGGAGUGACUUGAACCAACUACAAAACAAACUCCAUCUGCUAAAAGGCCUAGGCAUCACAUCUCCUGACCUGGUGAAGAUCAUCAAUUGUCGCCCUCGGUUCCUCAAAUGUCGGAUCAACAACAACUUCCAUGAGAGGAUUGCGUUUUUCUUGAAAAUUUUUGAAUCUAAGGAAGUUCUUAUUAAAGCCAUUGUAAGAAACCCCUCACUUCUGACCUAUGAUUUCCAUAAUAGAAUCAAACCGGUAAUUUCGCUGUAUGAAGAAAUGGGGCUUAGUAAAAAGGAUUUGAUACUUAUGCUUAUAUCUCGCCCCUCAUUGAUCCCAAGAAGUUCAUUUAAUGAUGAAAAGUUGAAGUACAUACAAAAAACAGGGCUCUCAAAGGGUGAUAAAAUGUACAAAUAUGUUGUUACAAUUAUGGGUAUCUCACGGCUUGAAACGAUCCGUCAAAAGGUUGCCAAUUUGGAAAAGUUUGGUUUCACAGAUGAUGAGAUUUUUGCUCUUCUAGGACGAUCUCCCCUUAUCUUGACUCUAUCAGUUGAUAAAGUGCAAAGGAACAUGACUUUCAUCUUAUGCACGUUGAAGUUACCUGCUAAAGUUAUUCUUAGCUAUCCAUUUUUAUUUUAUUUUAACUUGGAUGCUAUCUUGAAGCCACGGGUGCUUCUCUCUGGGAAGAUGGAGGAAAUGGGUCUGCAUUUGCAGAUCAAAGGCCAUGCUAUGCUCAGGGCCCUUCGGAUGACAGAGAAAAGGUUCUUGAAGACAUUUGUAAACAGCCAACCAAAAGAUGUCGCUGAUGAGUUGAUGGAGUUCUAUCAAAGUGCAAAAGGCAUCAAGCGUUUGGCAGAAACCUCAAAGAAGAACUGCAGUAGGGGAUUUCCUUUCUGAACCUUGCUUUUGACCUUUAUGAAGUUGAUCUGAGAGAUAUCUGGCGUGGAGUUAAAACCAAUUUUAUGACACAAUUACCUGUUCUAUUUAAUAGGUCAUCCAGCGUCUGGCAGCACUACCUGUUCUACAAUGGAUGGAAGUGAAAGCUGUAAAUUGUUUGGAGGGUGAGCCGAGAACAUGUAACACGUUGUCUACACGUUGCCAUUAAUGAUUUGAACAUUGCCUUUCCAUGAGCUCCGGAAGAGUAUGGAGGUUAAUCUUUGGGAUCUUGGAUGGCGUAAGAAGAUUGGAUGGCAAAAUCACAACAGAACAGCAGCCUUGGUUCCAACUUGCGAGUUAGUAAAGACGAUGAUUGAAAAUGGCGGCUGGCAUAAAUGGCCACCAGGUAAUGAGUUGUUACUGUGAGGCUUGGUAAUUAAAUUACAGGUUUUCUAGAUUUUCUUAAAAACUAGAAUGGCUAAAGUUCUAGUGAUGAAAUGUCAUUUCCAAGCAAGGAUCUUGAGAUUGCAAAAUUAUAUUGGAAUUCAAAAAUCAAGAGGCAUGAUUUCACGGGAAAAACAAAAAGUUUAUUGAACUAAUGGUGUUUGAUAUUCUCGAUCUGUACUUUAAUUUGUCUGUGUUGAACAAUUUAAGAGAACAGUAAAUCUGGUUAUGAAUGAAAGCAAUAUGAUUGUAUAUA